rnacentral:rRNA from 1 species
AUACGUAGGGUGCGAGCGUUGUCCGGAAUUACUGGGCGUAAAGAGCUCGUAGGUGGUUUGUCGCGUCGUCUGUGAAAUUCCGGGGCUUAACUCCGGGCGUGCAGGCGAUACGGGCAUAACUUGAGUACUGUAGGGGAGACUGGAAUUCCUGGUGUAGCGGUGAAAUGCGCAGAUAUCAGGAGGAACACCGGUGGCGAAGGCGGGUCGCUGGGCAGUAACUGACGCUGAGGAGCGAAAGCAGGGGUAGCGAACAGGAUUAGAUACCCUGGUAGUCCAUGCCGUAAACGGUGGGCGCUAGGUGUAGGGGUCUUCCACGACUUCUGUGCCGUAGCUAACGCAUUAAGCGCCCCGCCUGGGGAGUACGGCCGCAAGGCUAAAACUCAAAUGAAUUGACGGGG